AAUAAUUUCACCAUAAUAUGACAUAUGUAUUGUUUACAAAGCAACACUAUGAACAAAUGAACUCCACUCAGAAUCGUCUUUUCGUUAACAAUGGUUUAUCAUUGCUCACAGAUGUACAUUUAAUUACUGUCUGCAUCCUAUCUUCCCAACUUCCCACCUGCAUAAGUGGCUGCACCUAUAUGCAAAGUAUGUCCGUCUUUUUUAUGUCUGUAAAAAACUUUUAUGUAC